rnacentral:misc_RNA from 1 species
AAGUCAUAACAAGGUUUCUGUAGGUGAACCUGCAGAAGGAUCAUUAAAGAAUUUGAGCAUUUCGCUCUGCGCAAACACCUUCGGGUGUGAGCGCAUCUUUAUUUUCCACCCUGAACUACGGAGGGCUGACUUCGGUCGGCUUGUCCGGAAGAGAUUGGUAGUUUCGACUGCCUUUCUCGCCCUCUCAUAAACACAUCACAAUUAUGAAUGUUAAACCUAUUGUCUUCGGACAUGAAUAAUAUACAACUUUUGACAACGGAUCUCUUGGUUCUCC